rnacentral:rRNA from 1 species
AUCCAAUUAUGGCACCUGAAAUAAGCAAGGGUACCCGCUGAACUUAAGCAUAUCAGUAAGCGGAGGAAAAGAAAGUAACAACGAUUACCUUAGUAGCGGCGAGUGAAUAGGUAAAAGCCCAAGAUGUUAAUCUGCUAUAAAGUAGUAGAAUUGUAAUCUAUAGAGUAGCUCGGAAGGUCAAGACUCAUCAUAAGUUCCUUGGAAUAGGACGCCAGAGAAGGUGAAAGCCCUGUCUUCGGAUGAGUCGAGGCGAUACGAGAUAUUUCUAAGAGUCGGGUAGUUUGGGAAUGCUGCCCUAAUUGGGAGGUAAACUUCUCCUAAGGCUAAAUAUUUAUAGGAAACCGAUAGC